GUAGCUCAGCGGAGAGAGCAGCCGCCUUCUAAGCGGUUGGUCGAGGCGCCGACUUCAGCCUGGCUCUCU
rnacentral:tRNA from 1 species